rnacentral:misc_RNA from 1 species
GGAAGGAUCAUUGCAAAAUUAUGUGGAUUAGUUGUAGGAAUGUGAUUAUGAGAUUGGUUAGACAAAACUUUUACUAUUUUAUAUAACUCUCCACAUUGGAUCUCUGGGCUCUUGUAUCGAUGAAGAACGCAGCAAAACGCGAAAUGUGUUAUGACAUGCAAUCUUUGAGAAUCAUGAAAUUUUUGAACGCACCUUGUACCUGUAGUAACAUAUAGGUAUGUUUGUUUGAGUACGGAAAAAGAAAAAGAAAAUGAGGAUUACAAGAAUGAUUGUUUCCUUUAAAUGCAGAGAAUAAAGACAAUGAAGAAGAUGUAAGAUUUGGGAUAUAAAAUGAACAAAUCAUGCAUCAUUCAAUUGUUGUCAGUGUGCGAGAAUUUUACACUAUUCUCCCACUCACUAACCCUAAACUUUGUCUCAAAUCAAACAAGAUUACCCGCUGAACUUAAGCAUAUCAGUAAGCGGAGGAAAAGAAACUAACAAGGAUUCCCCUAGUAACGGCGAGUGAAGCGGGAAAAGCUCAAAUUUGAAAUCCUUCUAACAAGAUGGAAUUGUAUUUGAGAGGGCGUGCGUAGAUGAAUAGAACAAGUUGAGAGGUCCUUUGGAAAGAGGCACCAGAGAGGGUGAGAGUCCCGUUCACAAUUUGUUUUAGAAUCUUUAUAUGCACACCCUAAGAGUCGGAUUGUUUGGGAAUGCAGUCCUAAAUGGGUGAUACGUGUCAUCUAAAGCUAAAUAAGGACAAGAGACCGAUAGCAAACAAGUACCGUGAGGGAAAGAUGAAAAGGACUUUGAAAAGAGAGUCAAAAGUACGUGAAAAUGUGGAGAGGGAAACGCUGGCCAAGUAGAGAUUAAGAGUACUGUAAAGGUAGUCUUGAUGAGGAAUAGAUGAAUUGUAAGAAAAGCAUUCAUGGAAAGUGGCAUUAACUCUAGGGUUACUUGCUUUAUAGACAUGAAAUAGUAAUUACAAGAUAUCGUCUAAAACUUUCAUCUUCACUUGAUCAUCGACCCGUCUUGAAACACGGACCAAGGAGUGUAACUGCACUGCGAGUUAAAGAGUGAUAGAAACUUUUAAGCGUAACGAAAGUGAGGAGUGUGAAGGAGUGAGAUACAAUUUUAUUCUUGCAACACUGGCGCAAUUCAAAGUAACUCUUUGUUUUGCAGCUCGAGCAGUGCAGCUACGACCCGAAAGAUGGUGAACUAUGCCUGACUAGGGCAAAGCCAGAGGAAACUCUGGUGGAGGCUCGUAGAGAUUCUGACGUGCAAAUCGAUCUUCAAAGUUGGGUAUAGGGGCGAAAGACUAAUCGAACUAUCUAGUAGCUGGUUUCCUC